GACGAACGCUGGCGGCGUGCUUGAUACAUGCAAGUCGAACGGAAAGGCCCUGCUUUUGUGGGGCGCUCGAGUGGCGAACGGGUGAGUAAAACGUGAGUAACCUGCCCUUGACAUUGGGAUAACUUCAGGAAAAUGGGGCUCAUACCGGAUAGGAGCUCCUGAUGCAUGGUGGGGGUUGGAAAGUUUCGGCGGUUGGGGAUGGACUCGCGGGUUAUCAGCUUGUUGGUGGGGUAGUGGCUUACCAAGGCUUUGAAGGGUAGCCGGCCUGGGAGGGGGACCGGCCUCAAUGGGACUGAGGUACGGCCCAGUAGCCUACGGGAGGCAGCAGGGGGAAAUAUGGCACAAUGGGGGGAAGCCUGAGGCAGCGACGCCGCGUGCGGGAUAACGGCCUUCGGGUGGUAAACCACUUUCUCCUGAGACGAGGCGUGAGUGACGGUAAUGGGUAAAGAAGCACCGGCUAACUACGUG
rnacentral:rRNA from 1 species